CCCCCCCCCCCACCCAAGACCCCACGUAUUACGUGAACACCAACAUGUCUGUUCUUUUGCUAUGCUAUAUUCUUUUUUCCUACGUUCAAAUAUCAGUCAACUUGGAUUUGAGUAUCUAAACCGCUUGAUGUUGAAACAGGUAGAUUGAAGAAUUGUCCGUAAUGUUAUGCUGUUCAGUGUUUGUUUCUACUUUUACUUUUGUUUCAAUGUUAAGGAGUCUUGUUAAAUGGGUAGGCAAACCCGGGCCGGGGCAAAAUAAAAGCCGGGGCAGAUCGAUAUUUUUCAAUUUUCUUUGUUAAUACUCAACCAAUCUCAUUGAAAUUUUCAGGACAUGUCAACAAUCAGUAUAAAUGUAUUCGCUGUAAAUAUUUCUGCAAAACAAUGUAUAUUAGGAAAUUUAUCGACGAUUGUUGAUUUUCAAAUUGGUAAAAAGGGUAGGCAAACCCGGGUCGACAUUUUACAUUGUUUUACGGUUUUGUAAACUUAUUUAAGAAAAAACAGAACAUUUCACGUUUAAUUUCGGUAAAACAUAUAAAAUACUAAUAAGAAAUAGUCAUUUAUUGAACGGAAAAUAAUUGUUCUUCAAUUAAUAACAGUGUUUAAGAAAAAAUAUAUGAAAUCCAUUUAUCUUCCCAAUAGGUGUCUGCGCUGGUGACUGGGUUACACAGACCUAAAAAAACAAUGCACGAACAACUAACUCACUGAUUUUAUGAUCAAAUGAUGCAACCAAAAAAGAGUGAAGACAGAAUUUGUGUAAGACUUAUGUAGAAAAGCAUAUAAACAACAGUGCUGAAGUCUGACCAUUAUUUUUGAAAUUUAUAAAAUGUGUAAAAUUUAAAGUUAAUUGCUUGUGUCCUUUAUCUCUAAUUUUGCUGCAUCUGUUUAAGUUAAACAUCUUUGUUAAUCACCAGUAGAAGUUAUUUGUUAAUUGAUUAGAAAGCAUAGUACAUGUAUUAAUAACUCAUUAUUAAAUGAUUAUUAGUGUUUAUUAAUUGUUUUCCUUAUGUUGUAAUAUCUUAAAGUUACUAUGUUUUUCUGUAAGCUUGCGCCCAAUUGCCGCAAACAGUUUGCCAGAAGCUAAUUUGCAUACGAAUUCUGAACUUGCUGCAAAUUUGGCGCAAACAGUUUGCCAGAAGCUAAUUUGCAUACGAAUUCUGAAUUUGCGGCAAAUUUGCCGCAAACAGUUUGCCAGAAGCUAAUUUGCAUACGAAUUCUGAAUUUGCGGCAAAUUUGCCGCAAACAGUUUGCCAGAAGCUAAUUUGCAUACAAAUUCUGAACUUGCCGCAAAUUUGCGGCAAUUGUUUGUCGCAAAUUUGCAGCAAACUCUCUGCAAAUUUGCGGCAACUGUUUGCCAGAGGCCUUAUAUUUUGGUAAGGGAUGAACCAUGCUCUAUUAAGAUUAAGCUUAAUUACCGAUCUGUGCUGUAUUCAAACCUUUUGUAAACAUGUGACUGUCUUGUACAAUUAAAACAAUCUUGAUCAAGUGAAACGGACAGAGAUUUCCUCUUCAUAAGUUUCGGUAAUCUGACAUACGAAUCCAGCACUCAAACAAGGAAGCUAAUGAGCUACCAACCUGCAACACUUAUAUAGGAAUGCGAUACAAUUAAACACCCCCACCCCGGACUGAUGGUGUGGUUCAAGAUGGAAAGAAUCGCAGUGUGUACUCUUCCAGAGUGUCAACCCAUGAUGAGCAUAGUUUUGAGGAUAUACUUUUUCGUACCCACAGCGAUUACAGAAAUCCAUCAUUGCCAUGCAUUUUAUGUGAAAGUUAGAUCUGGUGUCAGUGAUGUGGUUCAAUUAGAUUGACCCAACUUUUCUGGAUUAUAUAUGUUUAAAAUACCAGACAUAUAUUCCCAUUAUGCAGGAUUUACUCAUUUUGAGAACCCUCAAUAACAAGUGAAAAAAUAGGAUCAUAAAAAGGCAGUCUGUGGAGAUAAGAUGCAGUCCAUAGCAGUCCUUAUUCCAAUUGUUCAAGGAUUAUGUGUAUGCUGCAGAAUUAAAUGAAUUUGGCUCUUAUCAUCACAACAGAGUCUGUCAAAAGGAAGACAUAGAACAGAAAAUCAUUGCAGAGUGUUGAGGAAAAUGAUCAGAACAGUCCAGUGAAUACUCAAACCAGCAAGACAGUCUGACAUAUAAUGAUAGAUGAACAAAUAAUGAGCAAACGGAACUCGCUAACAUAUUGAGCAAUUCGUCCCUAAUAUGUUUUUUUUCAUGAUUUGGAAUAUAUUUUGAAUAUUUUUUUGAAGAAUUAUUUAUUAGUUUUUAAAUAAGUGUUGUUUUUUUAUUUCUGGAGUUGCAUUGAAAAGAUAUAUCAUUUUCCUCUUGUGCAGAUAUUUGGAAUUAUCUGCCCUUUAUCAUACAAAAAAAUCAAUUUAAGCCUUCUUAAAGUGGUAAAAAUCAUAAUGUUGUAAUCUAUUCAAGCAGUUAACCUAUUUCAUUAAUGGAAAAUAUCUAAAAACAGCAUUUCAUUCCAUUAUUAUUUGUUAAGACUCCUUUAACAGGGUUUUCUUGCUUGGAGUUAUCUGCCCUUUGCAAAAAAUAUAUAGAAACAAUUCUCAUAAAGCCAAAUUGAAUUAUCCUGAUAAAUUGAAUUUAAAAUAUAUAAUCAGUUUCUCAUUUAUUUAAGCAGAAAAAAGUAUUUUAAAGGAGUUUUAUGAUCAACUUAUUAUUUAAGAAAUAUUUCAUUAUUUUUUUAGUGGGGUGGGAAGGUGUCAAAUAAACAUUUUUUGGAAGUAAAAUAAACAGAAACGAAAAAGAUACCCGCUCUGGUGUUUAUAAAUAAUAUUUUAUAUAAAUAUGAUGUUUUAAAUUUGCAAUUGAUUUAUUUUUUCUUUGCCUGCAAUUUUUGAGAGACUUUCAAAAAUACGGGGUGAAAAUUGAAAUAUCAAAAUUUAGAAAUUUUGGCCAUGUUUGAGCCACUAACUUUAAAACGAACCAAGACAUUGAGAUUUUUUUUCUCUUGCAUCAUGUUCAUCUAUAUUUGUACUAUGUAUAUUAUGUGUGAUAUAUCUUGAAAAUUUUUAAAUAAGCCUGUGCUGUGACUUUGAGUUUACCUUGUUUUCCAACUUAAAAACUGUGUAUUUGGGCCCAAAAUGAAUGAAAUUGGUUACCAUGGCAACCAAGGUAGUAGCCAUUGUUUUGAUGGUGGAUAAUGUCAUACCUUAUGAGUAUCAGUCACUUGAGAAAGUUUCGUGAAAAUCUGAGAUGGUGUGGGCCAUGACCCUAUAGUAAUAUUUUGGUAUUUACAGAGAAUUGAUGUUAAAUUACCAUGAUUUUUUUCUGUUGUGGCAUGUUAAGGUCAAGAUCUGUUAAAUGAUUCAAGAGUGUCUUUUUUUUUUUAACUUGAAACAUUAUGACGUCAUAAUUGAUUUUAAGAAUCUUUUUCUCCUACUUUACGGCUUUAAAGGAAUUAUGUAGAAAAUUAAACAAUUUCUUGCAUUCAAUGUUAAAUCAUAGGAAAAAAAUCCCGAUACUUAUAUUUAAUUUGAUAUCAUUUUAAAAAGGAGUUCAAGAGCUUUUUUAAUUCUUGUUUAAGACUGUAGGCAUUCUAGAUAUAUUUUUGUUAGUAAAAAUGGACAAAACUCAUGUAACACGAUAGGAACGCCAAGGCUGGUAUUUUUAUUUUAAAAGGCCUUUUGAAUAUACUUAUGAGUUACCCAAUUAUUAGAUAUAUAAUACAAUAUUAUCUAUAUUCAUAUAUGUAACGUGGCAGUAUUGCCUAUUAAACGUUCAAUACUUGUGUCGAUAUUUUACGUUUUAAUCUGUUCAUGAACGAGACUAAUA